rnacentral:rRNA from 1 species
AUUGAACGCUGGCGGCAGGCCUAACACAUGCAAGUCGAACGAGUGGCGGACGGGUGAGUAAUGUCUGGGAAACUGCCUGAUGGAGGGGGAUAACUACUGGAAACUGUAGCUAAUACCGCAUACCAUCGGAUGUGCCCAGAUGGGAUUAGCUAGUUGGUGGGGUAAAGGCUCACCAAGGCGACGAUCCCUAGCUGGUCUGAGAGGAUGACAAGCCACACGGGAACUGAGACACGGUCCAGACUCCUACGGGAGGCAGCAGUGGGGAAUAUUGCACAAUGGGGGCAAGCCUGAUGCAGCCAGGCCGCGUGUAUGAAGAAGGCCUUCGGGUUGUAAAGUACUUUCAGCGGGGAGGCGUUACCUGCAGAAGAAGCACCGGCUAACUCCGUGCCAGCAGCCGCGGUAAUAC